ACGGGGUGCAGCAGGCGCGAAACCUCCACAAUUCACGCAAGUGAGAUGGGGUUACCUCGAGUGCUAUCUGAAGAAGGUGGCUUUUCCAUGGUGUAAUGAGCCGUGGGAAUAAGGGGGGGGCAAGACUGGUGUCAGCCGCCGCGGUAACACCAGCCCCCCGAGUGGUGGGGAUGAUUAUUUGGCCUAAAGCGUCCGUAGCCAGCUCGGUAAAUCUCUCGUUAAAUCCAGCGUCCUAAGCGUUGGGCUGCGAGGGGAACUGCCGAACUAGAGGGUGGGAGAGGUCAGCGGUAUUCCUGGGGUAGGGGCGAAAUCCAUUGAUCCCAGGAGGACCACCAGUGGCGAAGGCUGCUGACUAGAACACGCCUGACGGUGAGGGACGAAAGCUGGGGUAGCGAAUCGGAUUAGAUACCCGAGUAGUCCCAGCCGUAAACGAUGCAGGCUAGGUGUUGGGUCGGCCAUGCGCCGCCUCAGUGCCACAGGGAAGCCAUUAAGCCUGCCGCCUGGGAGUACGGCCGCAAGGC
rnacentral:rRNA from 1 species